rnacentral:rRNA from 1 species
GAUGAACGCUGGCGGCGUGCCUAAUACAUGCAAGUCGAGCGAACAGACGAGGAGCUUGCUCCUCUGACGUUAGCGGCGGACGGGUGAGUAACACGUGGAUAACCUACCUAUAAGACUGGGAUAACUUCGGGAAACCGGAGCUAAUACCGGCUCAUAUAUUGAACCGCAUGGUUCAAUAGUGAAAGACGGCUUUGCUGUCACUUAUAGAUGGAUCCGCGCCGCAUUAGCUAGUUGGUAAGGUAACGGCUUACCAAGGCAACGAUGCGUAGCCGACCUGAGAGGGUGAUCGGCCACACUGGAACUGAGACACGGUCCAGACUCCUACGGGAGGCAGCAGUAGGGAAUCUUCCGCAAUGGGCGAAAGCCUGACGGAGCAACGCCGCGUGAGUGAUGAAGGUCUUCGGAUCGUAAAACUCUGUUAUUAGGGAAGAAAAAAUGUGUAAGUAACUAUGCACGUCUUGACGGUACCUAAUCAGAAAGCCACGGCUAACUACGUG